rnacentral:rRNA from 1 species
AGGUGGAGCGAAUCACAAAAACUCGGUCUCAGUUCAGAUUGCAGGCUGCAACUCGCCUGCAUGAAGUUGGAAUUGCUAGUAAUCGCGAAUCAGAAUGUCGCGGUGAAUACGUUCCCGGGCCUUGUACACACCGCCCGUCACACCAUGAGAGUCGAUAACACCCGAAGCCUGUGAGCUAACCUUUUAGGAGGCAGCAGUCGAAGGUGGGGUUGAUGAUUGGGGUGAAGUCGUAACAAGGUAAC